CCAAUCCUGACACAGGGAGGUAGUGACAAGAAAUAACAAUACAGGGCCUUUCGGCUUUGUAAUUGGAAUGAGUUGAGUCUAAACCCCUUUGCGAGUAUCAAUUGGAGGGCAAGUCUGGUGCCAGCAGCCGCGGUAAUUCCAGCUCCAAUAGCGUAUAUUAAAGUUGUUGCAGUUAAAAAGCUCGUAGUUGGAUUUUUGCUAAAUCUUGUGCAUGUGCUUUUCUUGCUCCUGC
rnacentral:rRNA from 1 species